UCGUAACAAGGUUUCCGUAGGUGAACCUGCGGAAGGAUCAUUAAAAUAAUACUUACACUUUGCAUUUGCGAACAAAAAAAAGAACAUUACACUUCUAAUAUAUUUUUAUCAAAACUUUCAACAACGGAUCUCUUGGUUCUCGCAUCGAUGAAGAACGCAGCGAAUUGCGAUACGUAGUAUGACUUGCAGACGUGAAUCAUCGAAUCUUUGAACGCACAUUGCGCCUCGAGGCAUUCCUCGAGGCAUGCCUGUUUGAGCGUCGCAUCCCCUCUAACCCCCGGUUAGGCGUUGCUCCGAAAUAUCAACCGCGCUGUCAAACACGUUUACAGCACGACAUUUCGCCCUCAAAUCAGGUAGGACUACCCGCUGAACUUAAGCAUAUCAAUAAGCGGAGGA
rnacentral:misc_RNA from 1 species